AACGCACCUUGCGCCCUUUGGCUAUUCCGAAGGGCAUACCUGUUUGAGUAUCAUGAACACCUCAACUCUCAUGGUUUGCCAUGAUGAGCUUGGACUUUGGGGGUCUUGCUGGCCUGCGGUCAGCUCCUCUCAAAUGAAUCAGCUUGCCAGUGUUUGGUGGCAUCACAGGUGUGAUAACUAUCUACGCUUGUGGUUUCCACCAGGUAACCUUCAGGGAUGGAGGUUCGCUGGAGCUCAUAAACGUCUCUCCUCAGUGAGGACAGCUCUUUGAACAUUUGAUCUCAAAUCAGGUAGGACUACCCGCUGAACUUAA
rnacentral:misc_RNA from 1 species